rnacentral:rRNA from 1 species
AUGUCAAAUCAUCAUGCCCCUUAUGUCUUGGGCGUCACACGUGCUACAAUGGCUCAUACAGAGUGAAGCGAGGCCGCGAGGCGGAGCAAACCACGAAAAGGAGUCCCAGUUCGGAUUGCAGGCUGCAACCCGCCUGCAUGAAGUUGGAAUCGCUAGUAAUCGCGGAUCAGCAUGCCGCGGUGAAUACGUUCCCGGGUCUU